rnacentral:piRNA from 1 species
UCAAGAUGCAAACUCGCUGUGUUGGGUUA